GAUGAACGCUGGCGGCGUGCCUAAUACAUGCAAGUCGAGCGAAUGGAUUAAGAGCUUGCUCUUAUGAAGUUAGCGGCGGACGGGUGAGUAACACGUGGGUAACCUGCCCAUAAGACUGGGAUAACUCCGGGAAACCGGGGCUAAUACCGGAUAACAUUUUGAACCGCAUGGUUCGAAAUUGAAAGGCGGCUUCGGCUGUCACUUAUGGAUGGACCCGCCUCGCAUUAGCUAGUUGGUGAGGUAACGGCUCACCAAGGCAACGAUGCGUAGCCGAACUGAGGGGGUGAUCGGCCACACUGGGACUGAGACACGGCCCAGACUCCUACGGGAGGCAGCAGUAGGGAAUCUUCCGCAAUGGACGAAAGUCUGACGGAGCAACGCCGCGUGAGUGAUGAAGGCUUUCGGGUCGUAAAACUCUGUUGUUAGGGAAGAACAAGUGCUAGUUGAAUAAGCUGGCACCUUGACGGUACCUAACCAGAAAGCCACGGCUAACUACGUGCCAGCAGCCGCGGUAA
rnacentral:rRNA from 1 species